AUGUAUUUCUCAUCAUCAAAAUAUUAUAUACAGAUGCAAGAGAAAAGUGUCCUUGCCCUUUCUCUCUGUCUGAUUGUGGCAGACAAGACUGAAUGGGGGAAUACAGGA
rnacentral:snoRNA from 1 species